rnacentral:lncRNA from 1 species
GAAAAGGCCACGUGAGGACACAGCAAGAAAGUGGUCAUCUGCAAGCGCAAAAGACAGGCCUCAGAAGAACCCAACCCUAUUGACACUAUGAUCUUGGACAUCCAGCCUCCAGAACUGAGCCAAAAUAAUGCAGCUUCACAUCUCCUUAAUGGACAGAAGACUACACUGUUUUUGCUGCACCCAGAGAUAAAAUUAUUGGUUUUGGAGUACCUUCACUGAUGCCAGUCCUUUGACAAAUGCAUGGUGUCAGCUGAAAACAGAGUUGGGUUGAAGCGUG